UGUCAUCUCAUUUUUCCAAAUAUUUCUGACAUAUCGUGAUCUUUGCUAAUAGUGCUGCCAGCUUACACCUAAAGAAUCAUGGAAUUUCUAU